rnacentral:rRNA from 1 species
GACAGAGGGUGCAAGCGUUGUUCGGAAUUACUGGGCGUAAAGGGCGCGUAGGCGGCCUUCUAAGUCGAACGUGAAAUCCCCGGGCUCAACCCGGGAACUGCGUCCGAUACUGGAAGGCUUGAAUCCGGGAGAGGGAUGUGGAAUUCCAGGUGUAGCGGUGAAAUGCGUAGAUAUCUGGAGGAACACCGGUGGCGAAGGCGACAUCCUGGACCGGUAUUGACGCUGAGGCGCGAAAGCCAGGGGAGCAAACGGG